CCUACGGGAGGCAGCAGUGAGGAAUAUUGGUCAAUGGGCGCGAGCCUGAACCAGCCAAGUCGCGUGAGGGAAGACGGUCCUAUGGAUUGUAAACCUCUUUUGUCGGGGAGCAAAAGACGCCACGUGUGGCGUUCCGAGAGUACCCGAAGAAAAAGCAUCGGCUAACUCCGUGCCAGCAGCCGCGGUAAUACGGGGGAUGCGAGCGUUAUCCGGAUUUAUUGGGUUUAAAGGGUGCGCAGGCGGACGAUCAAGUCAGAGGGAAAAUUGAGAGGCUCAACCUCUUCGAGCCGUUGAAACUGGUUUUCUUGAGUGAGCGAGAGGUAGGCGGAAUGCGUGGUGUAGCGGUGAAAUGCAUAGAUAUCACGCAGAACUCCGAUUGCGAAGGCAGCAUACCGGCGCUCAACUGACGCUCAUGCACGAAAGUGUGGGUAUCGAACAGGAUUAGAUACCCUGGUAGUC
rnacentral:rRNA from 1 species